UCCCCUGCCAAAUAAUCGCGGUUAAGCACACGGGUUGUGUCGCAGGCCUUCCAAGCCUCGCUGAGUAGGGUUCGAUUC
rnacentral:tRNA from 1 species